GCUGGACCUUAGUGUUCUUUUCUGGGCCUUCCUUUCUUAGAUUGAUGACUGGUGAGGAGGAAUUAUUAUUUGUUUCCACACCACCAAUUUCUCCCAUUUCUACUCCCCCUUCUCCAGCUGACUACUGGAACCUGAGCCAUUUAUUAGGUUGGGUUUUUUUGUUUUUUUUUGUUUUUUUUGCUUAUAUUGAGAGUGGAGGAAGUUAGAACAUACUUGCUACAUACAUAAGCUUUAUAACAAACCUCAUAAUCAUCACCAAUUUCAUCUUCAUAAAAAUGGAAACAUUCUAAUAGUCUCUCUCAUUGAACAUUUGCUGUGUCCCAGUGCUGUCAGAAGAAUUUUAUACACAUCUCAUUUAAUACUCACCACAACUUUGUGAAAUAGGAAGCUGAGAUAUAGAAUGCCUGCAUGACUUGCCCAAGGUCUCAGAGUGCAGAAGAGGCAAGGAUUAAUAAUGUUUGCUGGGCUUGUAAUUUUAAGAUCCUUUUUAUGGACAAAGAACUUAAGCAAACAGAAUGAUCCUUAGGUUGACAGCAGAACAGUUAAUGGAGACGUACUCUACUUCAUUGUUGUUGACCAUUGGCUAUUUGGGGAAUGGGGUCAGGUGGAUUUCGCAUGGCUAUUAAAAUAAUCAACUUAAAUAAAAAAUACAUCCCAAUAUA